AUUGCCUCCAAUUGGUUGUCUUCCAGUUCAAAUGACUACAGAAUCUCCACUUAUCAGAACUUUCAUAGAGAAUGAGAAUUCUGAUGCUCAACUUUUUCUAUCGACAGGGAAUUAAUUGAGUUUAGCUCAUUUAUUGACAUUUGAGUUUUCAAUUUUGUUACCUUUUAUGACUGUGUUCUUGAUGUUUUCUCUGUCAAAGUUA
rnacentral:lncRNA from 1 species